rnacentral:rRNA from 2 species
AUAAUGCAGUCGAACGAGUUCUCGUUGAUGAUCGGUGCUUGCACCGAGAUUCAACAUGGAACGAGUGGCGGACGGGUGAGUAACACGUGGGUAACCUGCCCUUAAGUGGGGGAUAACAUUUGGAAACAGAUGCUAAUACCGCAUAGAUCCAAGAACCGCAUGGUUCUUGGCUGAAAGAUGGCGUAAGCUAUCGCUUUUGGAUGGACCCGCGGCGUAUUAGCUAGUUGGUGAGGUAAUGGCUCACCAAGGCGAUGAUACGUAGCCGAACUGAGAGGUUGAUCGGCCACAUUGGGACUGAGACACGGCCCAAACUCCUACGGGAGGCAGCAGUAGGGAAUCUUCCACAAUGGACGCAAGUCUGAUGGAGCAACGCCGCGUGAGUGAAGAAGGCUUUCGGGUCGUAAAACUCUGUUGUUGGAGAAGAAUGGUCGGCAGAGUAACUGUUGUCGGCGUGACGGUAUCCAACCAGAAAGCCACGGCUAACUACGUGCCAGCAGCCGCGGUAAUACGUAGGUGGCAAGCGUUAUCCGGAUUUAUUGGGCGUAAAGCGAGCGCAGGCGGUUUUUUAAGUCUGAUGUGAAAGCCCUCGGCUUAACCGAGGAAGCGCAUCGGAAACUGGGAAACUUGAGUGCAGAAGAGGACAGUGGAACUCCAUGUGUAGCGGUGAAAUGCGUAGAUAUAUGGAAGAACACCAGUGGCGAAGGCGGCUGUCUGGUCUGUAACUGACGCUGAGGCUCGAAAGCAUGGGUAGCGAACAGGAUUAGAUACCCUGGUAGUCCAUGCCGUAAACGAUGAAUGCUAGGUGUUGGAGGGUUUCCGCCCUUCAGUGCCGCAGCUAACGCAUUAAGCAUUCCGCCUGGGGAGUACGACCGCAAGGUUGAAACUCAAAGGAAUUGACGGGGGCCCGCACAAGCGGUGGAGCAUGUGGUUUAAUUCGAAGCAACGCGAAGAACCUUACCAGG